UGACAUGCCAGCUCCGGACUUCAAUUAAACUGAUUGAAAAAUUAUGUCUUCAUCAUAUGAAUAUCAGGCACAAUCCUCCCCGUGAGGGGUUUAGUAUCAUACCAUCAUAACAUAUAUGAGAAGAACAUAACUCGUGUCAUGCCAACAACUGGUUUAUUAAUCAUAAAUGUGAUUAGUUCCGAUGCAAAGACCCUAUAAGUGAUUCAAUAUUAACGCCAAAAUAUGCAAUCUUUAAUGACCUGAC
rnacentral:lncRNA from 1 species